rnacentral:rRNA from 1 species
AACGAACGCUGGCGGCAUGGCUAAGACAUGCAAGUCGAACGGACCGCAGUAGCAAUAUUGCGGUUAGUGGCGAAAGGGUGAGUAAUGCAUGGGUAACGUACCUCGAACUCGGGGAUAACAGCGGGAGCAAUCCCUUUAGCGAAAGUGCUGCUAAUACCCGAUGAAGUCACCGGGUCGCAUGGCCUGGUGAUCAAAGAUGGGGACCGCAAGGCCUAUCGGUUUGGGAGCGGCCCAUGUCCUAUCAGCUAGUUGGCAGGGUAACGGCCUACCAAGGCAGCGACGGG